rnacentral:miRNA from 1 species
UUCUGAAAACUUCUAUUGCUUUCAUAAACUGGGCAACCAAAACUACAAAGUCCUGAUCCUAGACUAUUAUAUGUAUCUGAGAAAAAGAUUCUUCAAGAUCACGACUUUGAAAUUUUGGUUGCCCAGUUCAUGAAAGUAAUAAGAGUUUUCAGAAA